UACGUAGGGGGCUAGCGUUGCUCGGAAUCACUGGGCGUAAAGGGUGCGUAGGCGGGUCUUUAAGUCAGGGGUGAAAUCCUGGAGCUCAACUCCAGAACUGCCUUUGAUACUGAGGAUCUUGGGUUCGGGAGAGGUGAGUGGAACUGCGAGUGUAGAGGUGAAAUUCGUAGAUAUUCGCAAGAACACCAGUGGCGAAGGCGGCUCACUGGCCCGAUACUGACGCUGAGGCACGAAAGCGUGGGGAGCAAACAGGG
rnacentral:rRNA from 1 species